AAUCUCGUGAGACCCGCCUGCCGCCGCCGCUGCGGCCGCCUCUUACGUCUUUCCCUUUGACAAGUCGCUGCUGCUGCAGCAAAAAUAAAGGACGCGACCGCCGCAGCCUCUGCGGAGCCGGGCUCGGGUCGCCGGAGCCGCGCCCCACCCCGCCAGCUCCAGAGCCACGUACGGACUAAUGGCUGAAGGAUAAAUCAACAUGGCAACUAUGAUUCCACCAGUGAAGCUGAAAUGGCUUGAACACUUGAACAGCUCCUGGAUUACAGAGGACAGUGAAUCUAUUGCUACAAGAGAGGGAGUUGCUGUUCUGUAUUCUAAACUGGUUAGCAAUAAGGAAGUAGUACCUUUGCCCCAACAAGUUUUAUGCCUCAAAGGACCACAGUUGCCAGACUUUGAACGUGAGUCUCUUUCAAGUGAUGAGCAGGACCACUAUUUGGAUGCCCUUCUUAGCAGCCAGCUAGCAUUGGCAAAGAUGGUAUGUUCAGAUUCCCCAUUUGCUGGGGCACUUAGAAAACGACUGCUUGUACUCCAGCGUGUCUUUUAUGCACUUUCUAAUAAAUACCAUGACAAAGGCAAGGUGAAGCAGCAGCAGCAUUCUCCGGAGAGCAGUUCUGGUUCAGCAGAUGUCCAUUCUGUUAGUGAACGCCCCCGGUCAAGCACUGAUGCACUUAUAGAAAUGGGUGUUCGAACUGGUCUAAGUUUAUUAUUUGCGCUUCUAAGACAAAGUUGGAUGAUGCCUGUGUCAGGACCUGGUCUCAGUCUUUGCAACGAUGUCAUUCAUACUGCAAUUGAAGUUGUGAGCUCUUUGCCACCAUUAUCAUUAGCAAAUGAAAGCAAGAUUCCUCCUAUGGGCUUGGACUGCUUAUCGCAAGUAACAACAUUUCUUAAAGGAGUCACUAUUCCUAAUUCUGGGGCAGACACUUUAGGUCGUAGAUUAGCUUCUGAGUUGCUGCUUGGUUUGGCAGCUCAACGAGGCUCAUUGCGAUAUCUUCUUGAAUGGAUAGAAAUGGCUUUGGGGGCUUCAGCAGUUGUACACACCAUGGAGAAAAGCAAACUACUCUCAAGCCAGGAAGGAAUGAUCAGCUUUGACUGCUUUAUGACCAUAUUAAUGCAGAUGAGGCGUUCUUUGGGUUCAUCUGCUGAUCGGAGUCAGUGGAGAGAACCAACCAGAACAUCAGAUGGUUUGUGCUCCCUUUACGAGGCAGCGUUAUGUCUCUUUGAAGAGGUUUGCAGAAUGGCUUCUGAUUAUUCGAGAACAUGUGCUAGCCCAGAUAGCAUUCAGACUGGUGAUGCUCCCAUUGUCUCCGAAACCUGUGAGGUUUAUGUUUGGGGGAGCAAUAGCAGCCAUCAGUUGGUAGAAGGUACACAGGAGAAAAUACUGCAACCCAAACUGGCUCCUAGUUUCUCUGAUGCACAGACCAUUGAAGCUGGACAGUACUGCACUUUUGUCAUUUCUACGGAUGGCUCUGUUAGAGCUUGCGGGAAAGGCAGCUAUGGGAGACUGGGCCUUGGAGACUCCAAUAAUCAGUCAACUUUAAAAAAGUUAACAUUCGAGCCUCACAGAUCCAUUAAAAAGGUUUCAUCUUCUAAAGGAUCUGAUGGUCACACUUUAGCCUUUACGACAGAAGGAGAAGUCUUCAGUUGGGGAGAUGGUGAUUAUGGGAAACUGGGGCAUGGAAAUAGUUCAACACAGAAAUAUCCCAAGCUUAUUCAGGGACCUCUACAAGGAAAGGUAGUUGUUUGUGUGUCAGCUGGAUACAGACAUAGUGCUGCUGUCACAGAGGAUGGGGAAUUAUACACAUGGGGUGAAGGAGACUUUGGAAGAUUAGGUCAUGGUGACAGCAAUAGUCGUAACAUUCCAACAUUAGUAAAAGACAUUAGCAAUGUAGGAGAGGUUUCUUGUGGCAGUUCACAUACUAUUGCUCUGUCUAAAGAUGGGAGAACUGUAUGGUCUUUUGGAGGAGGAGACAAUGGUAAACUUGGUCAUGGUGAUACCAACAGAGUGUAUAAACCUAAAGUUAUUGAAGCUUUACAAGGAAUGUUCAUUCGCAAAGUUUGUGCUGGGAGCCAGUCUUCACUUGCUUUGACAUCAACAGGGCAGGUCUAUGCUUGGGGCUGUGGAGCUUGUCUAGGUUGUGGUUCUUCAGAAGCUACUGCUUUGAGACCCAAGCUUAUUGAAGAACUGGCUGCCACAAGAAUAGUUGAUGUUUCUAUUGGAGACAGUCAUUGUUUGGCUCUUUCUCAUGAUAAUGAAGUUUAUGCCUGGGGCAAUAACUCAAUGGGGCAAUGUGGUCAGGGAAAUUCCACAGGUCCUAUUACUAAACCAAAGAAAGUGAGUGGCUUAGAUGGCAUAGCUAUUCAGCAGAUUUCGGCUGGAACAUCACAUAGUCUGGCAUGGACUGCUCUUCCUAGGGACAGACAAGUUGUUGCAUGGCACCGACCUUAUUGUGUAGAUCUUGAAGAGAGUACCUUCUCACACCUGCGUUCUUUUCUUGAGAGAUACUGUGAUAAAAUAAACAGUGAGAUUCCCCCACUUCCUUUCCCUUCAUCAAGAGAACACCACAGUUUUCUCAAGCUGUGCCUGAAGCUACUUUCAAAUCACCUUGCUCUUGCACUUGCGGGAGGGGUAGCUACCAGCAUUCUCGGGAGGCAGGCAGGUCCACUUCGAAAUUUGCUCUUCAGACUGAUGGACUCAACUGUCCCAGAUGAAAUCCAAGAGGUGGUAAUUGAAACUUUAUCAGUGGGAGCAACCAUGCUGUUACCUCCAUUACGAGAACGGAUGGAAUUACUUCAUUCUCUUUUACCUCAAGGACCUGAUAGAUGGGAAAGCUUAUCUAAAGGACAGAGAAUGCAACUGGAUAUCAUCCUGACAAGUUUGCAAGAUCAUACCCAUGUAGCCUCCCUACUUGGCUAUAGUUCACCCUCUGAUGCUGCUGACCUAUCUUCUGUGUGUACUGGCUACGGAAAUCUGUCAGAUCAACCUUACGGCACUCAGAGCUGCCAUCCAGAUACCCACCUGGCUGAAAUUUUGAUGAAGACCCUCUUAAGAAAUUUAGGAUUUUAUACGGAUCAAGCAUUUGGAGAGCUAGAAAAGAAUAGUGAUAAAUUUCUACUUGGAACAUCAUCAUCAGAAAACAGUCAGCCUGCUCAUCUUCAUGAACUGCUAUGUUCACUACAGAAACAGCUGCUGGCAUUUUGCCAUAUCAAUAACAUUAGUGAGAACUCAAGCAGUGUGGCAUUGCUUCAUAAACAUCUUCAGCUUUUGUUGCCUCAUGCCACAGAUAUUUAUUCACGUUCUGCAAAUUUGCUCAAAGAAAGUCCUUGGAAUGGCAGUGUUGGAGAAAAAUUAAGAGAUGUGAUAUACGUCUCAGCUGCUGGCAGUAUGCUCUGCCAGAUUGUUAACUCCCUGCUGUUACUCCCUGUGUCAGUGGCUCGGCCUUUAUUGAGUUACCUCCUCGACUUGUUGCCACCUCUUGAUUGCCUUAAUAGACUCCUGCCAGCUGCUGAUCUUUUAGAAGACCAGGAGUUACAGUGGCCUCUUCAUGGAGGGCCAGAACUAAUUGAUCCUGCUGGUCUGCCAUUACCUCAGCCAGCUCAGUCCUGGGUAUGGCUUGUGGAUCUAGAAAGAACAAUUGCUCUCCUUAUUGGGCGGUGUCUUGGUGGCAUGCUUCAGGGCUCCCCUGUGUCUCCAGAGGAACAGGACACUGCAUAUUGGAUGAAAACGCCACUGUUCAGUGACGGUGUAGAAAUGGACACUCCUCAAUUGGAUAAAUGUAUGAGUUGCCUGUUAGAAGUAGCACUUUCUGGAAAUGAAGAACAGAAGCCUUUUGAUUAUAAAUUGCGGCCUGAAAUUGCUGUCUAUGUAGACUUGGCAUUGGGUUGUUCUAAAGAGCCUGCCCGAAGCCUUUGGAUCAGCAUGCAGGACUAUGCUGUUAGUAAAGAUUGGGACAGUGCAACUUUAAGUAAUGAGUCACUCUUGGACACUGUGUCUAGAUUUGUUCUUGCAGCUCUUCUGAAACACACAAAUUUACUUAGUCAAGCAUGUGGAGAAAGCCGAUAUCAACCUGGUAAACACUUAUCAGAAGUGUACCGUUGUGUAUACAAAGUUCGAAGUCGUUUACUUGCUUGCAAGAACCUUGAACUUAUUCAAACAAGGUCAUCAUCACGGGACAGAUGGAUAUCAGAAAACCAGGACUCUGCAGAUGUUGAUCCUCAGGAGCAUUCAUUUACUCGAACUAUUGAUGAAGAAGCUGAAAUGGAAGAACAGGCUGAGAGAGACCGGGAAGAGGGGCAUCCGGAGCCAGAGGAUGAAGAGGAGGAACGGGAACAUGAAGUGAUGACAGCUGGCAACCUUGUUUUUGUGUUGCAUGUUACAGAAAUCUUUCAGUGUUUCCUCUCAGCCCGUGAAGUAGCUCGUAGCCGAGACCGAGAUAGAAUGAACAGUGGGGCAGGGUCUGGGGCUCGAGCUGAUGAUCCACCUCCUCAGUCUCAGCAAGAGCGAAGGGUCAGCACAGACCUUCCUGAGGGUCAGGAUGUGUACACUGCUGCAUGCAACUCCGUGAUCCAUCGGUGUGCCCUGUUAAUAUUAGGAGUAAGUCCUGUGAUAGAUGAGCUUCAGAAGCGAAGAGAAGAAGGACAGUUGCAGCAACCUUCAACAAGUGCCUCUGAAGGGAGUGGACUUAUGACCAGGAGUGAAAGUCUUACUGCAGAGAGCCGGCUAGUGCACACAAGUCCAAAUUAUAGACUGAUCAAAUCGAGGAGUGAAUCUGAUUUGUCUCAGCCUGAAUCAGAUGAAGAGGGUUACGCACUGAGUGGCAGACGAAAUGUUGAUUUGGAUUUGGCAGCAUCUCACAGAAAGAGAGUGUAUUUACUCCUUUUUGGCCAGUUGAGCCCCAGAAAAAAGAAGAGCUUCAAGCAAGUACAUGAUGGUCCUAUGCACAGUCAAUUGGAAUCCCUGAGUGACUCUUGGGCUCGCCUGAAGCAUAGCAGAGACUGGUUAUGCAACUCCUCCUAUUCCUUUGAGUCAGAUUUUGAUCUUACCAAGUCUCUGGGAGUUCACACUUUGAUUGAAAAUGUUGUAAGCUUUGUGAGUGGAGAUGUGGGGAAUGCCCCAGGUUUUAAAGAGCCAGAGGAAAGUAUGUCUACAAGUCCCCAGGCCUCCAUCAUUGCAAUGGAACAGCAGCAGUUAAGGGCAGAACUUCGUUUAGAGGCACUUCAUCAGAUCCUCGUUCUGUUGUCUGGGAUGGAAGAAAAAGGUAGCAUCUCACUGGCAGGAAGCAGGUUGAGUUCAGGCUUCCAGUCCUCCACACUACUCACGUCUGUGAGGCUGCAGUUCCUAGCAGGGUGUUUUGGUUUAGGCACUGUUGGACACACAGGAGCCAAGGGAGAGAGUGGCCGAUUGCAUCACUAUCAGGAUGGGAUCAGAGCAGCUAAGAGAAAUAUUCAGAUUGAAAUCCAGGUAGCUGUGCAUAAAAUUUAUCAACAGUUGUCUGCUACCCUGGAAAGAGCCCUGCAAGCAAACAAGCAUCACAUUGAAGCCCAGCAACGUCUGCUUCUGGUUACAGUUUUUGCCCUAAGUGUUCAUUAUCAACCAGUAGAUGUUUCUUUGGCAAUUUCCACUGGUCUGCUAAACGUAUUGUCACAGUUGUGUGGUACAGACACCAUGCUAGGACAGCCCCUGCAGUUGUUGCCAAAGACGGGUGUUUCCCAGCUUAGCACAGCUUUGAAAGUGGCCAGUACAAGGUUGCUCCAGAUUCUAGCCAUCACUACUGGGACCUAUGCUGAUAAACUGAGUCCCAAAGUAGUUCAAUCCUUGUUGGAUCUACUCUGUAGUCAGUUGAAGAAUUUAUUGUCCCAAACUGGUGUACUACAUAUGGCCUCUUUCGGAGAAGGGGAGCAAGAAGACGGUGAAGAAGAAGAAAAAAAAGUUGACUCCAGUGGAGAAACUGAGAAGAAAGAUUUCAGAGCUGCUCUUAGGAAACAACAUGCAGCCGAACUCCAUCUAGGGGAUUUUUUAGUUUUUCUUCGCAGAGUUGUAUCUUCAAAAGCAAUUCAAUCAAAAAUGGCUUCCCCAAAGUGGACAGAAGUGCUUCUAAAUAUAGCAUCUCAGAAAUGUUCUUCAGGUAUCCCUCUGGUUGGUAACUUAAGAACAAGGCUCCUUGCACUUCAUGUCCUUGAAGCUGUGCUGCCAGCUUGUGAAUCUGGUGUAGAAGAUGAUCAAAUGGCCCAGAUUGUUGAGCGCUUAUUUUCCCUUCUCUCUGAUUGUAUGUGGGAGACACCCAUUGCUCAGGCCAAACAUGCUAUUCAGAUAAAGGAAAAAGAACAAGAAAUAAAACUGCAGAAGCAGGGCGAGUUGGAAGAAGAAGAUGAGAAUCUUCCUAUCCAAGAAGUAUCCUUUGACCCGGAGAAAGCUCAGUGUUGUCUAGUGGAGAAUGGACAGAUUUUAACUCACGGCAGUGGAGGGAAAGGAUAUGGAUUGGCAUCUACAGGAGUAACUUCUGGGUGCUAUCAGUGGAAGUUUUAUAUUGUGAAGGAAAACAGAGGUAAUGAAGGCACGUGUGUUGGAGUUUCUCGCUGGCCAGUACAUGACUUUAAUCACCGCACUACCUCGGAUAUGUGGCUCUAUAGGGCCUACAGUGGUAACCUCUAUCACAAUGGAGAACAGACUCUCACAUUGUCCAGCUUUACUCAAGGAGAUUUCAUUACCUGUGUGUUAGACAUGGAAGCCAGGACCAUUUCUUUUGGGAAAAAUGGAGAGGAACCCAAAUUAGCUUUUGAAGAUGUGGAUGCAGCAGAGUUGUACCCAUGUGUGAUGUUCUAUAGUAGCAAUCCAGGGGAAAAGGUGAAAAUUUGUGAUAUGCAGAUGCGUGGCACACCCCGAGACUUACUUCCAGGAGAUCCUAUUUGUAGUCCAGUAGCAGCAGUGCUGGCUGAGGCCACUAUUCAGCUCAUCCGUAUCCUUCACCGAACAGACCGUUGGACUUACUGCAUUAACAAAAAAAUGAUGGAAAGGCUUCACAAAAUUAAGAUAUGUAUUAAAGAGUCAGGUCAGAAGCUAAAGAAAAGCCGCUCGGUUCAGAGCCGAGAGGAAAAUGAAAUGAGAGAGGAGAAGGAGAGCAAAGAGGAAGAGAAAGGUAAACAUACUAGGCAUGGCCUCGCUGACCUCUCAGAGCUGCAGCUGAGGACUCUUUGCAUAGAGGUGUGGCCCGUGCUGGCUGUGAUAGGAGGAGUUGAUGCUGGUCUUAGAGUUGGAGGUCGGUGUGUUCACAAGCAAACUGGGCGCCAUGCCACGCUGCUGGGAGUGGUCAAAGAGGGCAGCACGUCUGCCAAGGUCCAAUGGGAUGAAGCAGAAAUUACUAUCAGCUUCCCAACUUUUUGGUCGCCUAGUGAUACUCCAUUGUAUAAUCUGGAACCCUGUGAACCAUUGCCGUUUGAUGUGGCGCGAUUCCGAGGCCUGACGGCUUCUGUGCUGCUGGACCUAACAUAUCUCACUGGCAUUCACGAAGACAUGGGGAAACAGAGCACCAAACGACAUGAAAAGAAACACCGACAUGAAUCCGAGGAGAAAGGGGAUGUUGAGCAGAAACCUGAGAGUGAAUCCGCUUUAGAUAUGCGAACAGGCCUAACAUCUGAUGACGUCAAAAGUCAGAGUACCACAAGCUCCAAAUCAGAAAAUGAAACUGCUUCAUUUUCUUUAGAUCCAACACUGCCAAGUGUGGAAUCCCAACAUCAAAUAACAGAAGGGAAAAGAAAAAAUCAUGAACACGUGUCCAAAAACCAUGAUGUAGCCCAGUCAGAAAUCAGAGCAGUCCAGCUGUCCUAUCUUUACCUCAGUGCUAUGAAGUCACUUAGUGCCCUUCUUGGCUGUAGUAAAUAUGCUGAGCUGUUGCUGAUACCAAAAGUUCUGGCUGAAAAUGGCCACAACUCAGACUGUGCAAGUUCUCCAGUUGUUCAUGAAGACGUGGAGAUGCGAGCAGCCCUGCAGUUCUUGAUGCGACACAUGGUGAAGCGAGCAGUCAUGCGGUCACCCAUAAAGAGAGCAUUGGGAUUAGCUGAUCUGGAACGAGCACAAGCCAUGAUCUAUAAAUUAGUGGUUCAUGGGCUUUUGGAAGACCAAUUUGGGGGCAAAAUUAAGCAAGAGAUUGAUCAACAAGCUGAAGAAAGUGACCCUGCCCAGCAGGCACAGACACCAGUUACUACUAGCCCAUCAGCCUCAAGCACGACCUCCUUUAUGAGCAGCUCUCUGGAGGACACCACAACUGCCACCACUCCAGUCACUGACACAGAAACAGUGCCUGCAUCCGAGUCCCCGGGAGUGAUGCCUCUUAGUCUUCUCAGGCAAAUGUUCUCUAGUUACCCAACUACCACUGUACUUCCCACACGUCGGGCACAGACUCCUCCAAUAUCUUCGUUACCAACCUCUCCUUCUGAUGAAGUAGGAAGGAGGCAAAGUUUAACUUCUCCUGAUUCCCAGUCAGCAAGGCCAGCUAACCGCACAGCCUUGUCAGACCCAAGCAGUAGACUUUCAACUUCUCCUCCUCCUCCAGCAAUUGCAGUUCCCUUGCUGGAAAUGGGGUUCUCUCUUCGGCAGAUUGCCAAAGCCAUGGAAGCUACAGGUGCUAGGGGAGAGGCUGAUGCCCAGAAUAUCACUGUCCUUGCCAUGUGGAUGAUAGAGCACCCUGGGCAUGAGGAUGAAGAGGAGCCCCAGUCGGGCAGCACAGCAGACUCUAGGCAUGGAGCAGCCGUUCUAGGCAGUGGCGGGAAGUCAAAUGAUCCCUGUUAUUUGCAGUCACCUGGAGACAUACCAUCAGCUGAUGCUGCUGAAAUGGAGGAAGGUUUUAGUGAAAGCCCUGAUAAUUUGGAUCAUACAGAGAAUGCAGCUUCUGGAAGUGGACCAUCAGCUAGAGGUCGCUCAGCGGUAACAAGAAGACACAAGUUUGACUUAGCUGCUCGCACACUGCUAGCAAGAGCAGCGGGAUUAUACCGCUCUGUGCAGGCCCACAGGAAUCAAAGUCGGCGAGAAGGAAUAUCUUUGCAGCAAGACCCAGGGGCGUUGUAUGACUUUAAUUUAGAUGAGGAAUUGGAAAUUGAUCUUGAUGAUGAGGCGAUGGAAGCUAUGUUUGGACAAGACCUGACCAGUGACAAUGAUAUUCUGGGAAUGUGGAUCCCAGAGGUACUGGAUUGGCCUACCUGGCAUGUUUGCGAGUCUGAAGACAGGGAAGAAGUGGUGGUGUGUGAACUGUGUGAAUGCAGCGUCGUCAGCUUCAAUCAGCACAUGAAGAGAAACCAUCCAGGCUGUGGGCGCAGUGCAAACCGCCAGGGCUAUCGCAGCAAUGGUUCCUAUGUGGAUGGCUGGUUUGGCGGUGAAUGUGGGAGUGGAAAUCCAUACUACCUGUUAUGUGGCACCUGCAGGGAGAAGUACUUAGCCCUGAAGACCAAAUCUAAGUCAACAAGUUCUGAAAGGUACAAGGGACAAGCUCCAGAUCUAAUUGGCAAGCAAGACAGUGUGUAUGAAGAAGACUGGGACAUGUUGGAUGUUGAUGAAGAUGAAAAGCUAACUGGUGAAGAAGAAUUUGAAUUACUUGCUGGACCGCUUGGUUUAAAUGACCGGCGCAUUGUACCAGAACCAGUUCAGUUCCCUGACAGCGAUCCACUGGGAGCAUCAGUAGCAAUGGUCACAGCCACCAACAGUAUGGAAGAGACUCUGAUGCAAAUAGAAUUAUGUUUUUCAGGUUGCCAUGGCUCCGUAGAAAAGAGCUCCUCUGGGAGAAUAACGUUAGGAGAGCAGGCAGCUGCCCUAGCAAACCCUCAUGACCGUGUGGUGGCUUUAAGGAGAGUGACUGCUGCUGCUCAGGUUCUUCUGGCCAGAACCAUGGUCAUGAGAGCGCUGUCUCUUCUCUCAGUCAGUGGUUCCAGUUGUAGCCUGGCUGCUGGUCUUGAGUCUCUGGGGCUAACAGAUAUCCGAACGCUAGUUCGAUUAAUGUGCUUGGCAGCAGCAGGGAGAGCUGGCCUCUCCACCAGCCCUUCUGCCAUGGCUAGCACCUCAGAACGAUCACGAGGUGGGCAUAGCAAGGCUAACAAGCCUAUCUCUUGCUUGGCCUAUCUGAGCACAGCAGUGGGAUGUCUGGCAUCAAAUGCUCCUAGUGCUGCCAAACUGCUUGUACAGUUGUGUACACAGAACUUGAUUUCUGCUGCAACAGGUGUAAAUCUAACCACAGUUGAUGACUCAAUUCAGCGAAAGUUUCUACCCAGCUUUCUCCGAGGAAUUGCUGAAGAGAACAAGCUUGUGACCUCCCCAAACUUUGUUGUAACACAGGCCCUUGUGGCAUUGCUAGCAGACAAAGGGGCCAAACUAAGACCUAACUAUGAUAAGUCAGAAGUUGAAAAGAAAGGUUUAAUUGCCCAAUUGUAUGCCCAUCCUUCCUAUGAUCCUUCUGCUGUAGGCCCUCUGGAGUUGGCUAAUGCCCUGGCAGCCUGCUGCCUCUCCUCCAGGCUGUCCUCACAGCAUCGGCAAUGGGCAGCUCAGCAACUCGUGCGCACUCUUGCUGCACACGACCGUGACAACCAAACUACUCUGCAGACACUUGCCGAUAUGGGAGGAGAUCUUAGAAAAUGCUCCUUUAUCAAGUUGGAGGCUCAUCAGAACAGAGUAAUGACAUGUGUUUGGUGUAAUAAAAAAGGUCUUUUGGCUACAAGUGGCAAUGAUGGCACUAUCCGCGUAUGGAAUGUUACCAAGAAGCAAUAUUCACUGCAGCAGACCUGUGUGUUCAACAGAUUGGAAGGGGAUGCUGAGGAAAGCCUGGGAUCACCCAGUGAUCCAAGUUUCUCACCAGUUUCCUGGAGUAUCAGUGGCAAAUAUCUAGCAGGCGCUUUGGAAAAGAUGGUGAAUAUCUGGCAAGUUAAUGGAGGAAAAGGAUUAGUAGAUAUUCAGCCUCAUUGGGUAUCUGCUCUGGCUUGGCCAGAAGAGGGUCCGGCUACAGCCUGGUCAGGAGAGUCUCCAGAACUGUUGUUGGUGGGACGGAUGGAUGGAUCUCUGGGACUGAUUGAAGUUGUUGAUGUGUCCACCAUGCACCGUCGAGAAUUGGAGCAUUGCUAUCGAAAGGAUGUGUCUGUUACUUGCAUUGCAUGGUUCAGUGAAGACAGACCAUUUGCAGUGGGAUAUUUUGAUGGAAAACUGUUACUGGGAACAAAGGAACCACUUGAGAAAGGAGGCAUUGUUCUAAUUGAUGCACAUAAGGAUACUCUUAUUAGCAUGAAGUGGGACCCUACAGGUCAUAUUCUUAUGACAUGUGCCAAAGAAGACAGUGUGAAACUCUGGGGCUCUAUUUCGGGAUGCUGGCGCUGUCUACAUUCACUCUGCCAUCCAUCUAUUGUAAAUGGCAUUGCUUGGUGCCGCCUUCCAGGGAAAGGAUCCAAGUUGCAGUUACUGAUGGCUACUGGCUGUCAGAGUGGCUUAGUAUGUGUUUGGCGCAUUCCUCAAGAUACUACACAGACCAAUGUGACUAGUGCAGAAGGAUGGUGGGACCAGGAAUCAAAUUGCCAGGAUGGAUAUAGGAAAUCAUCAGGAGCCAAGUGUGUUUAUCAGCUGCGGGGACACAUCACUCCUGUUCGGACUGUUGCCUUUAGUUCUGAUGGGUUGGCCCUGGUGUCUGGUGGACUAGGUGGGCUCAUGAACAUUUGGUCUUUAAGGGAUGGCUCUGUCUUGCAAACUGUUGUGAUAGGCUCUGGAGCUAUUCAGACCACAGUAUGGAUUCCAGAAGUUGGAGUAGCUGCUUGCUCAAAUAGAUCAAAGGAUGUUUUGGUCGUGAAUUGUACGGCAGAAUGGGCAGCUGCCAAUCAUGUUUUGGCAACCUGUAGGACAGCAUUGAAACAGCAGGGUGUUCUGGGAUUGAACAUGGCUCCCUGCAUGAGAGCAUUUCUGGAGCGGCUCCCCAUGAUGCUUCAGGAGCAGUAUGCCUAUGAAAAGCCUCAUGUGGUUUGUGGUGACCAACUUGUUCACAGCCCCUAUAUGCAAUGCUUGGCUUCCCUUGCUGUGGGACUUCAUCUGGAUCAUCUGUUGUGUAACCCUCCAGUGCCACCACACCACCAGAACUGUCUCCCUGACCCUGCAUCCUGGAAUCCAAAUGAAUGGGCCUGGUUAGAAUGUUUCUCAACCACUAUAAAAGCUGCCGAAGCCCUGACCAAUGGAGCCCAGUUUCCAGAAUCUUUUACCGUUCCAGAUCUAGAACCUGUUCCAGAGGAUGAACUUGUAUUUCUAAUGGAUAACAGUAAAUGGAUUAACGGCAUGGAUGAACAAAUUAUGUCUUGGGCAACUUCCAGACCUGAGGACUGGCACCUGGGAGGUAAAUGUGAUGUCUACUUAUGGGGUGCUGGUAGGCAUGGACAGCUGGCAGAAGCUGGAAGAAAUGUAAUGGUACCUGCAGCAGCUCCCUCAUUCUCACAGGCCCAACAGGUCAUUUGUGGUCAGAAUUGUACCUUUGUCAUCCAGGCCAAUGGCACAGUGUUGGCUUGUGGGGAAGGAAGUUAUGGCAGAUUAGGACAAGGAAAUUCAGAUGACCUUCAUGUGCUGACAGUUAUUUCAGCCUUACAAGGCUUUGUGGUGACCCAGCUGGUGACUUCCUGUGGUUCUGAUGGGCACUCUAUGGCCCUAACUGAAAGUGGUGAGGUCUUUAGCUGGGGAGAUGGUGACUAUGGUAAACUUGGCCAUGGGAACAGCGACAGGCAGCGGCGGCCCAGGCAGAUCGAGGCCUUACAAGGAGAAGAAGUGGUGCAGAUGUCUUGUGGCUUCAAGCACUCAGCAGUGGUCACUUCAGAUGGCAAACUGUUCACCUUUGGGAAUGGUGACUAUGGUCGUCUGGGUCUUGGAAAUACCUCUAACAAAAAACUUCCAGAGAGAGUGACUGCACUGGAGGGAUAUCAGAUUGGACAGGUGGCCUGUGGAUUAAACCACACUUUGGCAGUGUCAGUAGAUGGUUCCAUGGUGUGGGCUUUUGGAGAUGGAGACUAUGGAAAACUAGGCUUAGGAAAUUCCACUGCAAAAUCUUCACCUCAGAAAAUUGACGUCCUUUGUGGAAUUGGAAUAAAAAAGGUUGCUUGUGGAACUCAGUUUUCUGUUGCUUUGACCAAAGAUGGUCAUGUGUAUACCUUUGGUCAAGAUCGCCUGAUAGGCUUGCCAGAGGGGCGUGCUCGCAAUCACAAUCGACCGCAACAAAUCCCUGUCCUGGCUGGAGUAAUCAUUGAAGAUGUGGCAGUUGGAGCUGAACACACACUUGCUUUGGCAUCAAAUGGAGAUGUGUAUGCCUGGGGGAGCAAUUCAGAAGGGCAGCUCGGCUUAGGCCACACCAACCAUGUUCGAGAACCAACCCUGGUAACAGGUCUGCAAGGGAAAAAUGUUCGGCAGAUCUCGGCUGGCCGCUGCCACAGUGCUGCAUGGACAGCACCACCUGUCCCACCAAGAGCACCAGGUGUGUCAGUACCUCUGCAGCUGGGCCUGCCUGACACAGUGCCCCCCCAGUAUGGGGCGCUGAGAGAAGUCAGCAUUCACACGGUGCGGGCCAGGCUCCGGCUGCUCUACCACUUCUCUGACCUCAUGUACUCAUCCUGGAGACUGCUGAACCUUAGCCCCAACAACCAGGUAACAGACUGGCGUGGUAAGCAGCCAGGCACAGACUGGCUUGAACAGCACAUCCCAUUAUAAUGCUGGAACUUGGGGCAUUGUACAGGGACAACUUCGGCCUUUGUUAGCCCCAAGAGUCUACACUCUGCCAAUGGUGCGCUCCAUAGGAAAAACCAUGGUUCAAGGCAAAAACUAUGGACCUCAGAUAACUGUAAAGAGGAUAUCAACCAGAGGACGGAAGUGUAAGCCCAUUUUUGUCCAAAUAGCGAGACAAGUAGUUAAGCUGAAUGCUUCAGACCUCCGCCUGCCUUCCCGAGCGUGGAAGGUUAAGCUGGUUGGAGAAGGGGCUGAUGAUGCUGGAGGAGUGUUUGAUGACACCAUCACAGAGAUGUGCCAGGAACUUGAAACUGGUAUUGUUGACCUUCUUAUACCCUCUCCCAAUGCCACCGCAGAAGUGGGUUACAAUAGGGACAGGUUCCUUUUUAACCCUUCUGCCUGCCUCGAUGAACACUUAAUGCAGUUUAAGUUUUUAGGAAUUUUAAUGGGGGUUGCCAUUCGCACAAAGAAGCCUCUGGACCUCCACUUGGCCCCUCUGGUGUGGAAGCAGCUGUGCUGUGUCCCACUCACCCUAGAGGACCUGGAGGAGGUGGAUCUGCUCUACGUGCAGACUCUCAACAGCAUUCUUCACAUUGAAGACAGUGGGAUUACCGAGGAGAGUUUCCAUGAGAUGAUUCCUCUUGAUUCUUUUGUUGGCCAGAGUGCUGAUGGCAAAAUGGUUCCUAUAAUCCCUGGUGGAAAUAGUAUCCCACUCACAUUUUCCAACAGGAAGGAAUAUGUGGAGAGGGCCAUUGAAUAUCGACUUCAUGAGAUGGACAGACAGGUGGCUGCAGUCCGAGAAGGGAUGUCCUGGAUUGUUCCUGUGCCGCUGCUGUCCCUCCUCACAGCAAAACAACUGGAGCAGAUGGUGUGUGGGAUGCCCGAGAUCUCUGUGGAAGUCUUGAAGAAAGUGGUGCGGUACCGUGAGGUGGAUGAGCAGCAUCAGCUGGUGCAGUGGUUCUGGCACACACUGGAAGAGUUCUCCAAUGAGGAGCGGGUGCUUUUCAUGAGGUUUGUGUCAGGAAGAUCUCGACUACCAGCCAACACUGCUGACAUUUCUCAGAGAUUUCAAAUCAUGAAGGUUGAUAGGCCUUACGACAGUCUGCCUACCUCACAGACCUGCUUCUUCCAGCUGAGGCUGCCCCCGUACUCCAGCCAGCUGGUCAUGGCCGAGCGCCUGCGCUAUGCCAUCAACAACUGCCGCUCAAUCGACAUGGACAACUACAUGCUCUCGAGAAACGUGGACAACGCCGAGGGCUCCGACACUGACUACUGACCGUGCGGGUGCUCUCACCCUCCCUUCUCUCCCUCAAUAAUGCUCACUUCUGAUUUGAUGUUGAUAUACUUUUAUGGUAACUACAUAGAUGUUAUAGGAACAUAAACCAACAUUAUAAACAAUGGCCACAUUUAGUUACUCUAAAUGUAACAAAGAAAUUAGAUGUUUUUAUUUUUCUGUGAUUGUACAAAAACAACAAAAAUGAAGUGCUCUCAGUCAGGUUUUUCCCUCCAUAUUUUUGGUCACUUUUGAUAAGUUUGCAUGAAACCACUUUGGUGCAUUUUUAGUUGGGAAUGGUACAUUUUUGUAAAUCCACCCAGUGAACAUGAAAUUGUACAUUGUGUAUAAUUGUUCAUUAGAAAGGACAGUUUUACAUGAAUAUGCAUAUAUUUAUUUUGUUUUAAUUUGAAUUGCCUGUUCAGGGUUCCUUAUGCAGAGAAAUAAAGCAGAUUCAGGAAUUGGA